AAACUUUCAACAACGGAUCUCUUGGUUCUGGCAUCGAUGAAGAACGCAGCGAAAUGCGAUAAGUAAUGUGAAUUGCAGAAUUCAGUGAAUCAUCGAAUCUUUGAACGCACAUUGCGCCCCGUGGUAUUCCGCGGGGCAUGCCUGUUCGAGCGUAAUUU
rnacentral:rRNA from 1 species